rnacentral:rRNA from 1 species
GACGAACGCUGGCGGCGUGCUUAACACAUGCAAGUCGAACGGAAAGGCCCUGCUUUUGUGGGGUGCUCGAGUGGCGAACGGGUGAGUAACACGUGAGUAACCUGCCCUUGACUUUGGGAUAACUUCAGGAAACUGGGGCUAAUACCGGAUAGGAGCUCCUGCUGCAUGGUGGGGGUUGGAAAGUUUCGGCGGUUGGGGAUGGACUCGCGGCUUAUCAGCUUGUUGGUGGGGUAGUGGCUUACCAAGGCUUUGACGGGUAGCCGGCCUGAGAGGGUGACCGGCCCAGUUGGGACUGCGAUGCGGCCCAGCCUCCGACGGGAGGCAGCAGUGGGGAAUAGUGCACAAUGGGCGGAAGCCUGAUGCAGCAACGCCGCGGGCGGGAUGACGGCCUUCGGGUUGUAAACCGCUUUCGCCUGUGACGAAGCGUGAGUGACGGUAAUGGGUAAAGAAGCACCGGCUAACUACGUG